AAUUAAUUCAACAUCGAGGUCACAAACUUAAUUAUUAAUAAGAACUCGCUAAUUAAAUAAUGCUGUUAUCCCUAGAGUAACUUCAUAAAAAUUCCCUUUAAAAUUCCAAAAAUUUUUAUCUUCAAAUGUUGCCCCAACAAAAAACUAAAAAUUUCAAGCUUCUAGGGUCUUCUCGUCCCAAAAUUUAAUAAAAGCAUUUUUACUUUUAAUUUAACUUCAAAAUUAUUAAAUAAAACUUUCUUUUUAGUUUAAACCCUUCAUUCCAGUUCCCAAUUAAAGAA
rnacentral:rRNA from 1 species